AUUGAACGCUGGCGGCAGGCCUAACACAUGCAAGUCGAGCGGAUGAAGGGAGCUUGCUCCUGGAUUCAGCGGCGGACGGGUGAGUAAUGCCUAGGAAUCUGCCUGGUAGUGGGGGAUAACGUCCGGAAACGGGCGCUAAUACCGCAUACGUCCUGAGGGAGAAAGUGGGGGAUCUUCGGACCUCACGCUAUCAGAUGAGCCUAGGUCGGAUUAGCUAGUUGGUGGGGUAAAGGCCUACCAAGGCGACGAUCCGUAACUGGUCUGAGAGGAUGAUCAGUCACACUGGAACUGAGACACGGUCCAGACCCCUACGGGAGGCAGCAGUGGGGAAUAUUGGACAAUGGGCGAAAGCCUGAUCCAGCCAUGCCGAGUGUGUGAAGAAGGUCUUCGGAUUGUAAAGCACUUUAAGUUGGGAGGAAGGGCAGUAAGUUAAUACCUUGCUGUUUUGACGUUACCAACAGAAUAAGCACCGGCUAACUUCGUG
rnacentral:rRNA from 1 species